rfam:Triticum aestivum genome assembly, contig: Triticum_aestivum_CS42_TGACv1_scaffold_577139_7BL
CAACUACUCCGUUUGUCCCAAAUUUCUUGUCUUAGAUUUGUCUAGAUACGGAUGUAUCUAAUACUAAAAUGUGACUUGAUACAUCCGUAUCUAGACAAAUCUAAGACAAGAAUUUUGGGACGGAGGGAGUACUUU